rnacentral:rRNA from 1 species
GAUGAACGCUGGCGGCGUGCCUAAUACAUGCAAGUCGAGCGAAAAGACGAGGAGUUUGCUCCUCUGACGAUUGGCGAACGCGUGAGUAAAACAUGUGGAUAACCCCCUUAUCAGAGUGGGAUCACUUGGAGACAGGGGCGAUAACACCGGAUAAUAUCUUGAACCACAUGGGUCAAUAGUGAAAGACGGCUUUGGUGUCAGUUAUAGAUGGAUCUGCGCCGCAUUGGCUAGUUGGUAAGGUAACGGCUUACCAAGGCGACGAUGCGUAGCCGACCUGAGAGGGUGAUCGGCCACACUGGAACUGAGACACGGACCAGACUCCUACGGGAGGCAGCAGUAGGGAAUCUUCGGCAAUGGGCGAAAGCCUGACGGAGCAACGCCGCGUGUGUGAUGAAGGUCUUCGGAUCGUAAAGCUCUGUUAUGAGGUAAGAACAACUUUGGAAUGAAAUGUGCAGGGCGUGACGGUACCGGAUCAAAAAGCACCGGCUAACUACGUG